AAACUCGAAUGAACGAACGGAGAGAUUCAUCGAUAUCCGGCGGCGUACGGGCGCGCGCCUCGAUGUCGCGCCUCCCCCCUCGCGGGUGCGUAGCGCGGCACGGGUCGCGUCCGUCGACGCCCGCCGGCGUCGUGCACUUCUCUCUCAGUAAUACAUCGCGACCCGUUCGACGUCGGCCUAAGCGCCGUCCGGGAGCCCAGGGGGCGCGCUCGCGCGCCCUCUGGACCGUGACGGUGGCCGGCCGGCUGUCGGACGGUAGUACGAAAUCGUACAACAUGACGAACCGCGCACGCGCAUCGCGCGCGUCCGGCCCGACGCAAGCGAACGCCGCAUCAUGUCGCGGUCCUGCCCGAGUGCGGACCGCGACGCGGCGCUGCUGACGUCGCAGCCGUGCUGUCUCGGACCGUGCGCGUCUCAGUCGGCGAUGAUUC
rnacentral:rRNA from 1 species